rnacentral:lncRNA from 1 species
AUGUUAGGUGCAAACUUGAGCGCUUCAUGGCAUCAGAGCAGAGAUUUUCAGCUCCUUCCCAUCCUCCUUUUCCAUCUCAACACACCGUAUCCCUGCAAUUCCAGGCACGGAGAACCAGUCUCGCUGUGCUGCCAACCCACAUCUGAAGAGCUGGUAGCAUGCCUUCAUGCCAUCAAAACCUUUCCACCUGGAUGUCUCAAUGCAUUUGAGAGAAGAGUUGUGGUGCUCCUGGCUGCAGAUCCGUGGGCAAACAGGCACACACACACACACAGCAGAGUCCCAUCACUCGACAGUCUUGGAAAACGCAAGGACUUCCUGAAAAUGGAAGAGGGCUUUUAUCUAGCCAUCAGCCUUGCUCCAGCUGUGCCAGCCUAUUUCCGUCCAACUCUCGGGCCUUUGUGGAUGAAGUCCAUCAGCCUCGUGGAGCUGGAGCUCAAUCCAGAGCAUCUCAGCAAAGCAGAGCAGCACCUACCUGGAAGGCAGCUCAGGGCACCCGCCAAGCCCUGACCUUGUGAUGGAGACUUAAAUCACGUUCAUCAGGGGUGAGGAGCUGUGGGAUUAACCCCUUGGCUUGCUCCUCACCCCCUUCAGACAGAAAAGCUUUUAAUGGGUCAGCAGAUAAAAAAGCAGCAGUGAAAACAUUCCCUUAUCUCCCCUGCCAUGCCUGGUCUCUGUAAUACAACUGAUUCCUGCGAUGUGCAGACCUACUCAAACAAGUUUAUCUUCAUUCGAGGAAUAGUCAUACAGCGAGAUUGCAGUGUAAUUACCUUCUCACAAACCCUAACUGGAAAUCUUCACAUCCAGUCAUUAGCUUUAAGACAGGCAGACAGGCAAUUAUAUCUGAAUAAAUGACUGAGAAAUGAAUCUGGGAGACUCUCA